AACAGCUCAAAUUUGAAAUCUGGGCCCGUUCCGGGGUCCGAGUUGUAAUUUGUAGAGGAUGCUUCGGGCCCGGCCACGGUCUAAUUUGCUUGGAACAGCAGGUCAGAGAGGGUGAGAGUCCCGUCUGGGAUCGCAGGCCGUGUCCAUGUGAAGCUCCUUCGACGAGUCGAGUUGUUUGGGAAUGCAGCUCUAAAUGGGUGGUAAAUUUCAUCUAAAGCUAAAUAUUGGCCAGAGACCGAUAGCGCACAAGUAGAGUGAUCGAAAGAUGAAAAGCACUUUGAAAAGAGAGUUAAACAGUAUGUGAAAUUGUUGAAAGGGAAGCGCUUGCAAUCAGACUUGCGGGUGGCGGUUCCCCCAACCUCUCCGGUUGGGCUACUCCGCCAUCUCCAGGCCAGCAUCGGUCUGGGGGGUCGGUUAAAGAUCCCGGGAAUGUACCUACCCUCCGGGGUCGACUUAUAGCCCGGGGUGCAAUGCGGCCUCCCCAGACCGAGGAACGCGCUUCGGCUCGGAUGCUGGCGUAAUGGUUGUAAGCGGCCCGUCUUGAAACACGGACCAAGGAGUCUAACAUCUAUGCGAGUGUUUGGGUGUCAAACCCCUACGCGUAAUGAAAGUGAACGGAGGUAAGAACCCUCUCUCGGGGGGGCGCAUUAUCGACCGAUCCUGAUGUCUUCGGAUGGAUUUGAGUACGAGCAUAGCUGUUGGGACCCGAAAGAUGGUGAACUAUGCCUGAAUAGGGUGAAGCCAGAGGAAACUCUGGUGGAGGCUCGCAGCGGUUCUGACGUGCAAAUCGAUCGUCAAAUUUGGGCAUAGGGGCGAAAGACUAAUCGAACCC
rnacentral:rRNA from 1 species